rnacentral:lncRNA from 1 species
AUUGGAGGGGGGAGGGUUUGGGGUAGAUGAGAGGUGGGAUGGGAAGGAAAUAAAAGUUUUAGGGAAAAAGUGGGAGGGAGUAAAAAUUUUGGGGAAAAAUAAAAGAUUUUGAGCGUUUUGGGGAGUAAAAUUUUGAGAAAAAAUAAAUGGGAGAGUAAAAUUUUGGUGGGAAAUGAAUUUUGGGUAGAUUGGGGGCUUGGGAGGGGAGUAAAAGUUUUUGGGGGAAAGUGGGAAGGAGCAAAAGUUUUAAGGGAAAAGUAAAAAAGUUUGGGAGUUUGGGAUAAAAAUGUAAAAUAUUAUAGUUUGACAUUCGAAUUAUUCGAAUUAUUUGAAUUCGAAAACCCAACUCGAUUCGAACUCGAAAUUUGAAAAAAAUUCG